GGGGCUGGAGAGCUGCAGGACACAGAGUUGCUUUGCCUGAGACCACGAGAACUGCCCCGUGUCCAGAAUGGUUCAGAGCUGGUGACCUGCCUGGUCCACCUCUUCAUAAAUUAGGCUUAACGAUAGCAACUCCAUCUCGUGUGGCUGUUGCAAGGAUUAAACGUACUAAUAUUCUUCAAGUGCUUGGAUGUCACCUGGCACCAUAAUAAGUGCUAAAUAAAUGUUUGAUUAAAAAAAUUUGAUAGUGAGGGUAAAGCUCCUGGAACCUAGCAAACUUUCAAUGAAUUCCUGCUUAAAAACAGCCCCCAAGUGCUUUCUCUCCCCUUCUGUCCUCAUUCUAGCCCGUCUCCUGUUUCCUUUGCGACGCAAGUCACUGAAUCGUUAGAGGGAAGAAGCCUUGAAGGUCAUGGGUCAUUCCCAGCCCUUUCAGAGGUGUUUCCAUAUCAUUAGUCACACUUCGGUCUCAGCGAAAGCUCUAACCUGUGGAAUUCUCAGCCUCUGAGCUCGACAGUGUGAUGCGGCGAGAACAGGUGAAAGGAGACUGGAGAGCACGAGGCCCUCAGCCCGCCCGUUGUGUUUUCUGCCUUAGUGCUGGCUGGCACUGCUCCUGGAACUCUGGGAGGCAGGAUUGUACACAAGAUCUUCAGUCAUCUCUCACGAUACUUUCAGCUGUACUUCAUAGAUUACCCAGCUAUCAGUGGCUCAAACAAUAAAGACAUUUAUCAUCUCAUUUAACAAGUCUGGAGCUGGGAGGUUGCAGGGUUGGUUCAGCGGCUCGACAACGUCAGGAAGGAUCCAUGCCCUUCCCAUCUUCCUUCUCCAUCAUCUUCAGAGCAUGGUGUUUUCUCCUGCGUGAGGAGAAGAUGUUAGAAACAUGCUAGGGAGAACGCUGAUUAAAUGGUCCAGACUUGGCAGUGAAAAGACAAAUGUCGACAGAUUGGAUUAACAGAGAGAGGUGUGCUAUCUAUACGCACAUGAACAGGAAAGGUUGAAAAUAAAAGGCUGGAAAAGGACACGUCAGGCAAAUACUGACCAAAGAGAGCUGGUGUCGCUGUGCUCAUGUCAGGUACGAUAGACUUCAGGACAAAAAGCAUUAUUAAGGAUGACAAAGAUGACUACAUGAUGAUGAAAGAUUAAAUUCACCAAGAAGAGAUUUCCGUGUAUGUACCCAAUAAAAUAACUUCAAAAUAUAUAGAAGAACCAUUGAUAGAACUACAAGGAGAAAUCAGUGAAUUCAUCUUCAUGGUGGAGAUUUCAACACACGUCUUGACUACCGAUGAGUCAAGCCAACCACAA
rnacentral:lncRNA from 1 species